AGUGAACGCUGGCGGUAGGCCUUACACAUGCGAGUCGAACGGCAGCACAGUAAGAGCUUGCUCUUACGGGUGGCGAGUGGCGGACGGGUGAGGAAUACAUCGGAAUCUACUUUUUCGUGGGGGAUAACGUAGGGAAACUUACGCUAAUACCGCAUACGACCUACGGGUGAAAGCAGGGGAUCUUCGGACCUUGCGCGAUUGAAUGAGCCGAUGUCGGAUUAGCUAGUUGGCGGGGUAAAGGCCCACCAAGGCGACGAUCCGUAGCUGGUCUGAGAGGAUGAUCAGCCACACUGGAACUGAGACACGGUCCAGACUCCUACGGGAGGCAGCAGUGGGGAAUAUUGGACAAUGGGCGCAAGCCUGAUCCAGCCAUACCGCGUGGGUGAAGAAGGCCUUCGGGUUGUAAAGCCCUUUUGUUGGGAAAGAAAAGCAGCAGGUUAAUACCCCGCUGUUCUGACGGUACCCAAAGAAUAAGCACCGGCUAACUUCGUG
rnacentral:rRNA from 1 species